rnacentral:lncRNA from 10 species
GAGAUGAGGGAAGUUCAUUUUUAAGUGGUGAGAUUCACUGAAUUCAACACCUAUUUUUUAUGUGUCUCUUAUGUGCCUAUUUUUUAUGUGUCUCCUAUGUGCUUGUGUGUGUAUGUGUGUAUGAGAUUAUCUUCUUUCCAUCCACAAAUCCUUCCUUUUGAUAGGUAAAAAAAAGCUCUGAUCCAAUGAUUAUUAUCUUACAACUAAAAUUUUGGAGGCUAAUCUUAUUUUCCUCAUUCCCAGGCUCCUGGGGGUAACCUCAUACCUCACAAUAGGCCUCACAUACUUACUUCAAAUCCUCUCAGUUAUUAGCGAGAAUGUAUUAUUACCAGUACCUGACCAGGUUAAGCACAAAAAUUUAGAUUGUUCAGAAACUUAUAUACCAAUUUGACAUUGCUGUAACAUCCAAGUAUGUGAUCACUGGGCUCAUCCACUGGACAGGGUGAUUGGGGUUGUCAAAGGCACAUGGGGAGUGAGUGGCAUAUGGCCCUAACUAUGUACUGGCACUAUGUACAGUCAGUUGAAUGACAUAUUGGUCAGAAAAACAAGAAAUUAAAAUGAAAGAAAAAAACCUCACCUCGUUCUUCAAAUGGUUUGAGAAGUCCUAGUCUACACUAAUCUCAUUUGAAUUGUCAGAAGAUCUUCAUAUCUCUUGGGAAAAGAAUGCUGGAGUAUCACAUUUUGCCUGCCUCCAUCAGACAAUAAAUACAAAAAUAAUUUUGAAAUUUGUUCAAAUUUACAUUUAUAAAUUUAGUACAUAUUUUAAUGAAGACAUUAUAUAAAAACAUUUGAAUAUGUAAUAUAUAAAUAAUUUGUUGCUCUUACUGCAUGAAAAUAUAAUGCUUAGUCAGGUAAGGUAUGUAAAAAAUAUCUACAUAAAUAUCCAUCCAGAACUGGAAGUUUUCAGUUUUAUCCAAAAAAGGGGAAAGCUUAUUUUAAAAUAAAAUACAUACUUUAUUUUAAAGCUUAUUUAAAAUAAAAAUACAUAUAUAAUUUACAUUUUUAAUUUAUAAAACACCCCUGUCCCUCAAAAACAAAUUUCAAGAAUCUAACUCCUUGUUUUGGCUUUAAAAUGAUUUGGCAAGUGAUUUAAAUCAGAUCCGGAGCUACAAAGGAGAAAAACGUGGGGAGUACUUUUCCAAUUGAGGAAUUCAAACUGUUUCUAAAAUAGAAUAGUAGUGUUGAAUAUAUCUAACACCACAGAGGAAAAAAUGAAAUAUUCCGUAUAUAUUGAUUUUCUACAUAAACUAUGCAUUAUUCCCUUCAUUUUUAAUAGAAUGCUUCCUAAAAUGCAGUACAUAUUUCUUUUUUUUGUAAAUGCAUUACAAACUUCUUUGUAAAAAGAGCAUUCUGUCCGUGAUUCAGAAAACUUUCAACAAAGCCUGUAAACUCUGAAGCAGGAAACCAGUACCGUGUGAUUGACUGAAAUAGAGAACGCUGUUUACCCCUAAUUCUGGCCUCUUCUCUAGUUAUCUUCAUGGUGAAUUUCUUUUUUUUUUAUUUCCAACUUUUAAGUUCAGGGGUACCUGUGCAGAGUGUGUGUUUGUUACAUAGGUAAACGUGUGUCAUGGUGGUUUGCUGCACAGAACAUCCCAUCACCUAGGUAUUAAGCUCAUCACCCAUUAGCUAUUCUUCCUGAUGCUCUCCCUCCUCCCAUUCCCCAUCCUCCAACAGGCCCUAGUGUGUGUUGUUUCCUUCCACGCAUCCAUGUGUCCUCAUCAUUCAGCUCCCACUUAUAAGUGAGAAUGUGUAUUUGGUUUUCUGUUCCUGCAUUAGUUUGCCGAGGAUAAUGGCUUCCAGCUACAUCUGUGUCCCUGGAAAGGAUAUGAUCUUGUUCCUUUUUAUGGCUGCAUAGUAUUCCAUGGUGUAUAUGUACCAUUCUUUCUUUAUCCAGUCUAUCAAUGAUGGGCAUUUGGGCUGAUUCCAUGUCUUUGUUAUUGUGAAUAGUGCUGCAAUGAGCAUACAUGUGCAAAUAUGUUUGUGAUAGAAUGAUUUAUAUUCCUUUGGGUAUAUACCCAGUAAUGGGAUUGCUGGGUCAAAUGGUAUUUCUGCCUCUAGGUCUUUGAGGAAUCAUGACACUGUCUUCCACAAUGGUUGAACUAACUUACACCAACUUCAUGGUGAAUUUCCAAGGAGACACUUUCAUCUGCCUCAAUCAACCUUUCCCUUUCUUGCCUUUCCAUUUAAAUAAAAACCUAUCUUC